rnacentral:rRNA from 1 species
UACAGAGGUCUCAAGCGUUGUCCGGAAUUAUUGGGCGUAAAGAGCUCGUAGGCGGUUUGUCGCGUCUGCUGUGAAAAUCCAGGGCUUAACCCUGGACCUGCAGUGGGUACGGGCAGACUAGAGUGCGGUAGGGGGAGAUCGGAAUUCCUGGUGUAGCGGUGAAAUGCGCAGAUAUCAGGAGGAACACCGGUGGCGAAGGCGGAUCUCUGGGCCGUAACUGACGCUAAGGAGCGAAAGCAUGGGGAGCGAACAGGA